AUACUUACGGGGCAGGGGAGAUAACGCCAUCACGGAAGGUGGUUUUCCCAGGGCGAGGCUUGUAUUGCACCCCUGUGAUUUCCCCAGAUGUGGGAAACUCCACUGCAUAAUUUGUGGUAGUGGGGGACUGCGUUCGUGUUUUGCCCUG
rnacentral:snRNA from 1 species